GAGAGAGAGAGACGGAGAGAGAGAGAGACGGAGAGGAGGGGGAGAGAUAGAGAGACGGAGAGAGAGAGGAGUGAGAGGAGGUUAUUUGUUAACAAUCAUCAGUUUGACUGGGAGGCUGAACAUCUGGUCUGUAACAUUAGGGAACUAAGGCAUAAUACCUUCCUACUUAACUACUGCUCCUCAGGCAGACACACAGCAUAAUAUGUUUCAUUGGAAUUAAAUUAUACUGUGAUCACACUACCAUUGAACCAGAAGAGACAUCCUACAGUACAUGCUAGCUACCUUUUCCAUAUUGAUUUGCAUUGUAAGUGAGAUUGCAUUAUAGUUGUGGUGAAAUGUGUGUAUAUAUAUAUACAUUACAUUCAAAGCCAUCUUAAAGGGAUACUUCAGGAUGUUUGACAAUGAGGCCCAAAGCCAUCUUAAAGGGAUACUUCAGGAUGUUGGCAAUGAGGCCCAAAGCCAUCAUAAAGGGAUACUUCAGGAUGUUGGCAAUGAGGCCCAAAGCCAUCUUAAAGGGAUACUUCAGGAUGUUGGCAAUGAGGCCCAAAGCCAUCAUAAAGGGAUACUUCAGGAUGUUGGCAAUGAGGCCCAAAGCCAUCUUAAAGGGAUACUUCAGGAUGUUUGACAAUGAGGCCCAAAGCCAUCUUAAAGGGAUACUUCAGGAUGUUGGCAAUGAGGCCCAAAGCCAUCUUAAAGGGAUACUUCAGGAUGUUGGCAAUGAGGCCCAAAGCCAUCUUAAAGGGAUACUGCAGGAUGUUGGCAAUGAGGCCCAAAGCCAUCUUAAAGGGAUACUUCAGGAUGUUUGACAAUGAGGCCCAAAGCCAUCUUAAAGGGAUACUUCAGGAUGUUGGCAAUGAGGCCCAAAGCCAUCUUAAAGGGAUACUUCAGGAUGUUGGCAAUGAGGCCCAAAGCCAUCUUAAAGGGAUACUGCAGGAUGUUGGCAAUGAGGCCCAAAGCCAUCAUAAAGGGAUACUUCAGGAUGUUGGCAAUGAGGCCCAAAGCCAUCAUAAAGGGAUACUUCAGGAUGUUGGCAAUGAGGCCCAAAUCCAUCUUAAAGGGAUACUGCAGGAUGUUGGCAAUGAGGCCCAAAGCCAUCUUAAAGGGAUACUUCAGGAUGUUGGCAAUGAGGCCCAAAGCCAUCUUAAAGGGAUACUUCAGGAUGUUGGCAAUGAGGCCCAAAGCCAUCUUAAAGGGAUACUUCAGGAUGUUGGCAAUGAGGCCCAAAGCCAUCUUAAAGGGAUACUUCAGGAUGUUGGCAAUGAGGCCCUUUAUUUACUUCCCCAGAGUCAGAUUAAUUUGUGAAGUUCAAGGUAGUUUCACGAGCCAAUGCUAACUAGCAUUUGCGUAAUGGCUGGAAGUCUAUGGGUAUGUGUUGGCAUGUUAGCAGAUACUUCCAGCUAAUGCUAGUUAGCAUUGGCACGUGAAACUACCUGUAAAGUCCUAGAUAAAGGGCCUUAUUGCCAAAACCCUGAAGUUUCAGAUGACAAGACAUUGCCUGUGUACCAAAUGGCCCCCACCAGUCUAUGAUCUGUGUGUAGAGAGAGAGAGAGAGAGAGAGAGAGAGAGAGAGAGAGAGAGAGAGAGAGAGAGAGAGAGAGAUGGGUCAUGAAGACGUUAAUGUCUGACUACACACACAGAGAGACAGGGAGAGCGAGAGAGGGAGAGAGAGCAAGAGAUAGGAAGGAAAAGAGAGAGGGAGAGGGAGAGAGAUAGGAAGGAAAAGAGAGAGGGAGAGGGAGAGAGAUAGGAAGGGAAAGAGAGAGGGAAAGAGAGCAAGAGAAAGGAAGGGAAAGAGAGAGAGAGCGAGAGAGAGAAAGAGAAGGAAAGAAAGAGAGGGAAAGAGAGAGGGAGAGGGUCAGAGAGGGAAAGAGCAAGAGAAAGGAAGGGAAGAGAAAGGGAGAGAGAGAGAGUGAGAGAGAGGGAGAGGGAGAGACAGAGACAGAGAGACAGAGAGAGAGAGUACCAGUGAAAGAGGUUACCUGCCGCUCCCCUCCUCUCUCUGAAGCAUUAAUACUGACCACGUUACAAAAGUGAUUCAGAAAUUAAGGAGAGAGAUUUUUCAUUAGAGAAGAACGGAUUAACUUUUUCAAAGCUAGUUAAGGAUACUAUAGUUAUUAUGUUUCACAUUGGAUGAUUUAUUAACUACAAAAAAGGUAAGAUGUGUUUUUUUUAUUCUCUGUACACAACAAGCUUGUGAACUCUGGUCCAAUGUUAAGUCAACUCUCGCUCUGGUCCAAUGUUAAGCCAACUCUCGCUCUGGUCCAAUGUUAAGCCAACUCUCGCUCUAGUCCAAUGUUAAGCCAACUCUCGCUCUGGUCCAAUGUUAAGCCAACUCUCGCUCUGGUCCAAUGUUAAGCCAACUCUCGCUCUGGUCCAAUGUUAAGCCAACUCUCGCUCUGGUCCAAUGUUAAGUCAACGUUAAGUCAACUCUCGGACGUUUAAAGACAUUCAAAGUUCCUCACUAGAAACCGCUUCUCUGGGAGGUAUAAUCCUGUGGUAUAAUAUAGUGGCUUCAGAAAGUAUUCACACUGUCACGUCCUGGCCAGUAUAAGGGUUAAUUGUUAUUGUAGUUUGGUCAGGACGUGGCAGAGGGUAUUUGGUUUAUGUGGUUCGGGGUGGUGUUUUUUCUAAAAGGGCAUUUGAUUUAAGUAUUCCGG
rnacentral:lncRNA from 1 species